UGAGCCUACCAGAAGUCGCUGCGUUAACCGCAAGGAGACAGGCGCCCAAGGUAGGAUCGAUGAUUGGGGUGAAGUCGUAACAAGGUAGCCGUAGGUGAACCUGCAGAAGGAUCA
rnacentral:rRNA from 1 species